UCCUACGGGGGGCAGCAGUGGGGGAUAUUGCACAAUGGGGGAAACCCUGAUGCAGCGACGCCGCGUGGGUGAAGAAGCGCCUCGGCGCGUAAAGCCCUGUCAGCAGGGAAGAAAAUGACGGUACCUGAAGAAGAAGCCCCGGCUAACUACGUGCCAGCAGCCGCGGUAAUACGUAGGGGGCAAGCGUUAUCCGGAUUUACUGGGUGUAAAGGGAGCGUAGACGGCUAAUCAAGUCAGAAGUGAAAACCCAGGGCUCAACCUUGGGACUGCUUUUGAAACUGAGUAGCUAGAGUGCAGGAGAGGUA
rnacentral:rRNA from 1 species